rnacentral:ncRNA from 1 species
ACUUAUUCUCAGGGCGGGGUGCGAGUCCCCACCGGCGGUAUCCCAGGAAUACUGGGGAGCCCGCGAGCGCUCCUAAUAUAGGAGGUCAGCAGAUCUGGUGAGAGGCCAGAGCCGACGGUAAUAGUCCGGAUGAAAGAGGAUAGGA